GAGCAAUCCCAGUGGGGAGGUUCCAAGAUGGCUGAAUAGGCUGCAGCUCCCAGCAUGAGCGACGCAGAAGACGGGUGUUUUCUGCAUUUCCAACUGAGGUCAGGAAAAUGGGGCACAGAGAACUACGCGAUUUAUCCAAGGUCAUACAGCUGUGUAAAGAGCAGAACUGGGAUUUGAUCAGGUUAACAGUCUCUGUGGACCCUCUGCUACAUGCUAGCUGGGAUAUAUUCUUCUCCUGUCCUUGGAUAUCAGAACUCCAGGCUCUCUGGCUUUUGAACUUCAGGACUUAUACCAGUGGCCCCCCGGGUUCUCAGGCCUUCAGCUUCAGACUGAGAGUUAAACAUCAGCCUCCCUGGUUCUGAGGGCUUCGGACUUAGACUGAGACAUGCUACAAGUAUCCUGGGGUCUCUAGCUUGCAGAUGGCCUGUCGUGGGGCUUCUCAGCCUCCAUAAUCAUUAUUAUGCUGCAAGUGUUUGAGAUCAAUGAAAAGUACCUACACUAAAAACAGAUCACCUUCUUCAAAGACUCAAAAGUGUUACAAUUUAUCAAGACACAGCUUGACAAAAGAGUCACAGCCUACAGAAAUACAAGGAACAAGUUACAGAAAUACAAAGAACAGGAGGAGGAGUCAAGAUGGCCGAAUAGGAACAGCUCCGAUCUACAGCCCCCAGCGUGAGCGACACAGAAGACGGGCGAUUUCUGCAUUUCCAACUGAGUAUCAUUGUAAAAAAAAAACAGUACAACAUAUCUCACACCUACAGUGAAUGAAUCAUGUAGAAUAUUCAAGAAGUACUAAAGAUAACAUGCUGGCAUGCUUUUGCUGUGUUGCCCAGGCUGGAGAGCAGUGGCUAGUCACAGACAUGAUCAUGGCACACUACAGCCUUGAACUCCUGGACUUAAGGGAUUCUGCCUCCAACUCCUGGAUUCAAGGGAUCCUUCUGCCUCAGGCUCUGAAGAAGCUGGGACUACAGUUUCAAAUAUUCUGUUACAAGCAACAGAAAACAAGCUAAUACAGAAAAUUGGUACAGAGAAGUGGGGUGUUGCUGAUAACAAAUACCCGAAAAUGUAGAAGUGGCUUUGGAACUGGGUAAUGGAAAAAGGUUGGAAGAAUUUGUAGAAACAAGCUAGAAAAAGCCUGGAUUUUGAGGGCUUAGCAGACAAGAAGACUAAAGAAAGUUUGGAACUCCUUAGUUAUUGCCUAAGUGGUUGUGAUUAGGAUGCUGAUAGAAAUAUGAACAGUACAGUGACAUCAGCAAGAUUGUGGAGUAGAAGAUUCCCCAGCAUCAGUUCCACAACAAAAAUAUAACUAGAAAAUAUUCAAAGGCAAGAAUAUCACCCUGAAUUCUCCAGAACUUGGGGGAGAAAUGGAGACCUCCCCUGCAUCCACAGAAUUGAGAGAAGUCACAACUGGUAAAAGAAAUGUUCAUUUCAGAUUGUGCCAUUGCCUUUCCCAAGCCAGCAAAAUACCACUUAUAGAGAAUUUCUUUAAACUCAUGGUUUCUGUGGUGAGCGGAGGGAAUUGGAGGUGCAUGUUCUAUCUCUCCAUUGAUCUUCAAAUCUUUAUGGAAGCCUACUCCUCUCCUGUCCCACAGGAAUCAUCAGGAGUUCCAGGAGGGCUAAACCACCUUCAGUGAAUUGGGGACAAAAAGCAGGGCAUUAGUCACCAUGAUUGGAAAGUAGAUCUUGAGAGCCUCUCUGCACUCCAAUAAGCGGAGAUCCCAAGUUGAAGAGACUGAUUAGCACCAUAGCACUGCAAGGGUCACAACCCACAGGAAAGCCCAAAUCCUUGGCUGCAUGUUCCACAAAGCCCAGGUGCUUGUGUGGAGCAUUGCCUUCCCAGAAACAACUAAAAGGUCAAAAUUAAGUUACAGUGCCAACAUAAGUCUUCCUCAGAAUGGGAAAUAUUUGCAGGGCAGUAAUAUAUUUCUGGGGCAACAUCUAAGUUCCAGUGCUCACUGUAAGUUUUCCACAGACUCAAAAACAAUAUGAGGGCAACAAUUUAGUUAUGGAGAAGCAUUUAAAUUCCAGUGUUCAAUAUGAGUCUUCCCACAGGCCAGGAAACAACAAUAGGGCAACAAGUUAGUUCCACUGCAGUGUGUCAGUUCAGUUCACCAUAAGUCCUCCCCAAAAUGAGAAGCAACAACAGAACAGCAUUUAAGUUCUGAGAGUAAGUAGUAAAGGUCUAACACCACCAGUGAAUAUCUGCAAACACUGGAAGAGGUGGCGGUCUCCUCAAAUUAUCAGGCAUCAAUGUAAAGAAACAAAGAUUGUGAAAACUCAAGAAAUAUGACAUGACCAAGAGAAACCAACAAAGCUACAGCAAUGAACCCAGAAGAAUUGAAUAUCCAUGAAAUGUCUGAGAGAGAAUUCAAAAUAAUCCUCUUAAACAAGUUCAGAGAUCACAAGCAAAUAUGGAUAGAAAACUAAAUGAAAUUUGGAAAACUAUCCAGGAACAAAAUAAGAAAUUUGACAAAGAAACGAAAACAAUUUUUAAAAUAAUAGAGAACCUACAAAUAAAGAAUACAAUAACUGAACUGAAAAACUCAUUAGAAAGCUUCAAGAGCAGACUUGAUCAAACAGAGGAAAGAAUUAAUGAGCCUGAAGACAAAACAUAUGAAAUUACCCAAUCAAGGGAGAAAAAAAAAGAAUUAAAAAGAAUGAGGAAGGCCUAUGAGAAUUACAGGAAACCAUUAAAUGAACUGACCUCUACAUAAUAGGAAUUCCUUAAGGAAACGAGAGAAAAGAGCUUAGAAAGCAUAUUUAAGGAAACAAUGAAGAAGGAUGACAGCAUCCAGGUACAAGCAGCUCAGAAGUUAUCAACCAAACUCAGUCCAAAGAGGAAUUCUUCAAGACACAUCAUAAUCAAAUUAGCAAAAAUUAAAGACAAAAAAGGAUACUCAAUGCAGCAAAAGGAAAGAAAAAAAUAUCACAUUUGAUGGAGCUCCAAUAUGAUAUGCAAUGGAUUUCUCAGCAGAAACCCUGUAGGCCAAGAGAGAUAAGGAUGCUAUAUUCAAAGUGCUGAAGGAAAAUAAACUGCCAGCCAUGCAUAUUGUACCUAGAAAAGCUAUCCUUCAAACACAAAAGAGAGAUAAAGACUUUCCCAGACAAACAAAAGCUGAGGAAAUCAUCAACACCAGACCUGCCUUACAAGAAGUACUGAAGGGAGUUCUUCAAUCUGAAAGAAAUGGAUGCUAAUGUGUAACAUGAAAACAUCUAAAUGUAUUAAACUUACUGGUAAAAGAAAGAAAACAGACAAAUUUAGAAUAGUUUAAUGCUGUAAUUGAGAUAAAGAAACAACUAAUGGCUUAAGUAAGAAGACUAAAAGACAAAACUAUUUUAUAAAAAUAAUGACAACAAUUGGUUAAGAAAUAAGCAAUAUAAAAUGAUGUAAGCUGAAAAAUCAAGAAUCAAAAAGAAGGGUGCUAAAGUGUAGAGUUUGUUUUGUUACUUUCUUUACUUUGCAAUCAAAGUCAAGUCAAUAUCAGUUUGAGAUAACCUGUUAUAACUAUAAGAGGAUUCUGUAAGCUUUAUAGUAACCAGAAAGUAACAAUAUAUAAUAGAGACACUUAAAAUAAAUAGCAUGGAAUCAACAUGUAUCACUAGAGAAAAUUGCUUAACCACAAAGAAGACAGUAAGAGAGGGAAAGUGGAGGGAAGGACCCACAAAGCAAUCAGAAAACAAGUAACAAAAUGGCAGUAAUAAAUCCUUACCUAUCAAUAAUACUUUUGAAUGUAAAUGUAUUAAAUUCUCCAAAUAAAAGACAUGAGUGGCUAAAUGGGUUAAGAUUUUUUAAAAGACCCAAUUAUAUGCUGUCUUUAAGAAACCCACUUCACCUAUAAAGACAUGCACAGAUGGAAAGUGGCAGAAUUAAAACAGAUAUUCCAUGCAACUGGAAACCAAAAAAGAGCAGGAGUAGCUAUACUUACAGUAGAGAAAAUAGACUUUAAGUCAAGAACAGUUUAAAAAAAAAGGAAAAGAAGGAUACUAUAUAAUGAUAAAAGGGUCAAUACAGCAAGAGGAUACAACAAAUAUAUAUACACUCAACACCAAAACACCCAAACAUUUAAAACAAAUAUUAAUUGACCUAAAGGGAGAGAUUAUAAUACCAUGUAUUAUUACAGUGCAGUAAUAGUAAGGGACUUCAGCACCCCACUUUCAGUAAUGGACAGAUUGUGAAGACAGAAAAUCAGCAAAGACACAUGAGAGUUAAACUGCACUCUAGAUCAAAUGAACCUAACAGAUAUUUGCAGAACAUUCCAUUUAACAGCUGCAGAAUACACAUAUUUUUCCAGAACACAUGGAAGAUUUCCACAAAACAUUCUCCAGGAGAGACAAUAUAUCUUAAUAAUUUUUUAAAAAUCAAAAUAAUAACAACAUAUUUUUUUCUGGAAUAAACCUGGAAAUCAAUAAUGGAAAGAAUGUUUAAAACUGUACAAAUUAAUGGAAAUAAAACAACAUGCUCCUGAACAAUGGAGGGACUGAUGAAGAAAUUUAAAAGAAAACUUAAAAUUCCUCAAGACAAAUUAAAAUGGAAACACAAUGUACCAAAACCUAUGGGAUACAGCAAAAGUAGUGCUAAGAAAGAAGAGUAUAGCAUUAAAUAUCUACAUCAAAAAAGUAGAAAGACUUCAAAUAAACAACUUAAUGAUGCAUCUCAAGGAACUAGAAAAGCAAGAACAAACCAAACCCAAAAUCAGUAGAAGAAAAGAAAUAAUAAAGAUCAGGGCAGAAAUAAAUGAAACAGACAAAAAAAGAUUAACAAAAUAAAAAGAUUUUUAAAAAAGAUAAGCAAAACUGACAAAUCUUUAGCUAGACUAAGAAAAAGAGAGAAUACCCAAAUAAAUGAAAUCAGAGUUGAAAAAGGAGACAUUAUAAUUGAUACCACAGAAACAUAAAGAAUCAUUAGAGGUUAUUGUGAACAACUAUAUGCCAACAAAUUGGAAAGUCUAGAAGAUACGGAUAAAACUCCUGUACACAUACAAUCUACCAAGACUGAACCACAAAGAAAUAGAAAAUCAGAACUGAUCAAUAACAAGUAACAAGAUUGAAGUGGUAAAAAAAAGUCUCCCAUCAAAGCCCAGAACAUGAUGGCUUCACUGCUAAAUUCUACCAAGCAUUUAAAGAAGAAAUAACACCAAUUCUACUCAAACUAUCCCAAAAAGUUGAAGAGGAGGGAAUACUUUAAAACUCAUUCUAUGAGGUCAACACUACCCUGAUACCAAAAUCAGACAAGGACACACACACAAAAGAAAACUACAGGCAAAUAUCCCUGAUGAACAUAGAUGCAAAAUUUCUCAGCAAAAUACUAGCAAACUGAAUUCAGCAACACAUUAAAAACCUCAUUCAUUGUGAUCAAGUGGGAUUCAUCCCAGGAAUGCAGGGAUGGUUCAACAUAUGCAAAUCAAUAAACAGAUAUAUCACAUUAGCAGAAUUAAGAACAAAAACCAUGCGAUAGUUACAAUAAAUGCUAAAAAAUCAUUCAACAAUAUUCAAUAUGCCUUUAUGAUAAAAUCUCUCAAAAAACUAGAUAUAGAACUAACAUACCUCAAAACAAUAAAAGACAUAUAUAACAAAUCCACAGCUAACAUCAUACUAAAUGGAGAAAAAUUGAAAGUCUUUCUUUUAAUAUCUGGAUGAAGACAAAGAUGCCCACUUUCAUAAAUUUUAUUCAAUAUAGUACUGGAAGUCCUAGCCAGGGCAAUUAGGCAAGAGAACAAAAUAAAGGGCAUCCAAAUUGGAAAGGAGAAAAUCAAAUUAUCCUUGUUCACAGAUAACGUGGUCCUAUAUUUAGAAAAAGAUGUCACCAAAAAAAUUGUUAGAACGGGUCAAUAAAUUCAGUAAAGUUGCAGAAUACAAAAUCAACAUACAAAAAUCAGCAGCAUUUCUAUACACUAACAACCAACAAUCUGAAAAACUAACCAAUAAAGCAAUCCCAUUUACAAUGGUUAUGAAAAAAAACUAGGAAUAAAUGUAACCAAAGAAGUGAAAGAUCUCUAUGAUGAAAUCGAUUAAACACUUAAACUAAGAAAUGGAAGAGGGCUCAAACAAAUGGAAAGAUAUGCUAUGCUCACGGACUGGAGGAACUAAUGUUUUUAAAAUGUCCAUACUAUCCAAAGUGAUCUACCAAUUCAAUGCAACUCCUCUCAAAGUACCAAUGAUAUCCUUCACAGAAAUAGAAAAAAAAAAUCCUAAAGUUUGCAUAGAACCACAGAAGACCAUGAUUAGCCAAGGCAAUCUUGAACAAAAGGAACAAUGCUGGAGACAUCACACUACCUGAUUUCAAAUUAUACUAAAGAGCUGCUAUAGUAACCUAAACAGCAUGGUACUGGCAUAAAAACAGACAUAUAGACCAAUAAAACAGAAUAGAACCCAGAAAUAAAUUCACACAUUUAUAGCCAACUAUUUUUUGACAAAGGUGCCAAGAAUAUACAUUGGGUAAAGGACAGUUUCUUCAAUAAAUGGUGCCAGGAAAACUGGAUAUAUUCAUGCGGAAGAGUAAAACCAGACCGCUAUCUCUCAACAUAUACAAAAAUCAAAUGAAAAUAGAUUAAAGACUUAAAUGUGAGACCUAAAAAUCCUGAAGCUACUAGAAGAAAAAUAUUGGAGAAUGCUUUAGUACAUUGGUCUGGGCAAAGAUUUUUUGGGUGAGACCUCAAAAGCAACAGAAGCAAAAAUGGACAAAUGGGAUUACAUCAAACUAAAAAGCUUCUGUGCAGCAAAGGAAAUGAUCAGUAGACUGAAGAGACUGUUGAAUGGGAUAAAAUAUUUGCAAACUAUCCAUCUGACAAGGGAUUAAUAAAAAGAAUAUACAAGGACUCAACAGCAAAAAAAAAAAAAUCUGAUUUUAAAAUGGGCAAAUGAUAUGAGUAGACAUUUCUCAGAAGACACACAAAAAUGUUCAAUAUCACUAAUCAUCAGGGCAAUGCAAAUCAAAACCACAAUGUAAUAUCAUCUCACCUCAGUUAAAAUGGCUAUUAUCAAAAAGACAAAAAAAUAACAAAUGCUUGUGGAAUGUGGAGAAAGGGGAAUGCUUGUACAUUGUUGGUGAGAAUGUAAAUUAGUAUAGGCACUGUGAAAAACAGUAUGGAGGUUUCACAAAUAACUAAAAAUAGAUCUGCCAUAUAAUCCAGCAGUCACACUGCUGGGUAUAUAGCUAAAAGAAAGAAAAUCAGUAUACUGAAGAGAUAUCUGCACUCCGUAUUUAUCGCAGCACUAUUCACAAUAGCCAACAUAUAUAAUCAAUCUAAGUGUCCAGAAACGAAUGGAUAAGGAAAAUGUAGCAUAUAUACACAAUGGAAUAUUGUUCAGCCAUGAAAAAAAUGAAAUUCUGUCAUUCUCAGCAACAAGGAUGGAACUGAAGGACAUUAUGUUAUGUGAUGUAAGCCAGGCACGGAAACACAAAUAUCACAUGUUCUCACCCAAAUGUGGUAGGUAAAAAAGUUGGUCUCUUGGUCAGAGUAGAAUGAUGAUUACCAGAGGCUGAGAAGAGUAGGGGAGAAUUGGGGGUGAAAAGAGGUUGGUUAAUAGGUACAAAAAUACAGCUAACAGAAGGAAUAAUUUCUAGUGUUUGAUAACAUAGUAGAGUGACUAUAGUUAACUAUAAUUUAUUGUAUAUUUCAAAAUAGCUAGAAAAUAUUUGAAAUGUUCCCAACACAGAAAAAUGAUAAAUGUUUGAAGUGAUGGAUAUCCUACUCUGAUUUAAUCACUGUAUGAAUGUAUCAAAUAUUAAAUGGACCACACAAAUCUUUACAAUUAUUAUGCAUCAAUAAAAAUUUUUUAAGAAAAAAUAUGGAUAAUAAAGGCUGUUCUGAUGAGGUUUCAGAUGGAACUGAGGACAAAGGUAUUGGAAAUUGGAGUAAAGGCUAUCCUUGUUAUUAAUUGGCAAAGACCUAUUUAGUACAAGUAAUUCUCUCAGUCUCUUGUUUUCUUUUUAAGCUCCUUUUAUUGUUUUUCACAUUAUAGAUAUUUUAAAUGUUUGUAUGGUUAUGUGCGUCCAUCUUCUAUUUUUUCAUUUCUGAUUGCUCUCCUCUUUUCUUCUUAUUUUCUUACAAUUUGGUUUGUUAAUAUUUAACUUCCUGUAGUUUUCUCCUAAAGGGCAGAGACUCUGUUAAUCAUCAUUGUAUCUAUAUGCCUAGCCCAGUCCCAGCAUGUAAUGAACUACCAAUAAAUAUUUGUGGAAUGAAUAAGUGAAGGAACAACUGAAUUGGCCCCAGUAGUCCACAGACCACACCCACUUGAGACUACAUAAUAAGGUCACUUUUUCUUUCAUAGCCAACUUAUAAAAACUAUGAACUUGCAUUCCAUAGGCUACAAAAAAGCUAUUCUUCCGGAGGAUUUCCUUCCCAUGGAUCUGUUAAAUGUUCCACUAUAUCAGUACUAUAAUCAUUUGUCAGCGCUGUUAGAGUCCAGCAAGUCACUUCUGCCAUCAGAUAACCAGCUUCUCUGGAAUACUGCUCUGCCCUAUGAGUUAUUCUCCAAGCAUAGACUCUGAUCCCUCCCUUAAUUAUCUAAAGCACAGGUAACACAUGAAUAAAACAAUUAACAAAAAUGUACUGCAAACUUGGGUAUGAAAGAAGUACAAUGCAGGCUGGGCACAGUGGCUCAUGCCUAUAAUCCCAGCAUUUUGGGAGGCCGAGGCAGGUGGAUCACAUGAGGCCAGGAGUUGAAGACCAGCCUGGCCAACAUGGUGAAACCCUGUCUCUACUAAAAAUACAAAAAUCAGCUUGGCAUGGCAGUGCACACCUGUAGUCCCAGCUACUUGGAAGGUUGAGGCACAAGAAUCGCUUGAACCUGGGAGGUGGAGAUUGCAGUGAGCCGAAAUCGCACCACUGCACGCCAGCCUGGGUGACAGAGCAAAACUCUCAAUGCAGUGUAGAUUUCAACUGGAAGGAGUUACUUUGGGAACACAAUGUGGCAAUGGCCAGCUCACCCCACCAACAGAAAAUCGCCAGGCAUCUCCACACUCUGGAACACUGGCCCUAAGAACCGCUGUGGUGGGAGUAUAUGUGUGUGCAGAGAGGAGAAAGAGAUGUAAAGACAAACAAAGAGAUUCAGAGAGAGAUCUUUCCUCUUCAAAUCCAUGCCCUGCUUCUUUUGGCUGUUGCGAAGAUUAAAUGAGUUAAAUUAAAUAAUUGACAGUGGGAGCACCCACUAAUGCAGAGUACAGUCUGGCUCCUAUGGCCAGACAGGCAAUGAUGAAGAUCAGCAGUACAUUUUACAAGUCUGAGUUAUUCUGUAACUUAAGUUAUUCUUAAAUAACACAAGUCUGAGUUAUUCUGUCUUAAAUAACACUAUGUGAAAGACACCAAUGCUCCAAAUCCAGGUGGUAUUAUACCAAUCCUAGUCCCCUGAUUCCCUUUCACAAUUUUUAUCUCCAUAAUAAAGAGCUCAGAUCUACACAACACUCUUGGCAUGGUCCAGUGAGACAAUCUCCUGUUACCAAUCACUUAGACAAAACUCUCUCUCUCUCUCUCUGACUCUCUCUUCCAAAAUAAAUAAACAAACAGUAGUUUGCAAGGACAAUUCAGCCAAAAUCCAUAUUCUAAGGCUACAUAUUUUCCCCCUCUGAUUUUGAAAGGACAUACACAAGCCACUAAACCCAAUUUAUACUUCUAAACGAAACUUGUCAGCUUACUAGAAACUUCAAUCUCCUCAAAAAGCAACAAGUGAGUACUUGCUCUAGAUGUGUGUAAUUCAAAAGGCCCAUUCUGGUAAUUCUCCCAAAACAAAGAAAGCCUGCUCCAAAGAUGAAUCAAUGACUCCAUCUUUAUAAAAAAAAAAAAUCUGGCAACUUUUAAAUGAUUUAAUGCUAGGUUUCCAAAAAAGUAAAGUCCUGACGUGCAGCCUCUUGCAGAAUGAAUAAAGUAGUGUGAGGUGAAGGUCCAAGUUAAAGUUUUUGCAUAUUAAUAUCUGGUUGUCUUAGUCCAUUUUCUGUUGCUAUGGAAAAAUACCACAAACUGGGUAAUUUAUAAAGAAGAGAAAUUUGGCUGGACACAGUGGCUCAUGCUGUAAUCCCAGCACUUUGGGAGGCCAAGGUGGGGAGGAUCACUUGAGCCCAGGAAUUUGAGACCAGCCUGGGCAACAUAGUGAGACCCCACCUCUACCAUAAAGAAAAAUUAGCCAGGUAGUCCCAGCUCCUUGGGAGGCUGACAUGGGAGGAUCACUUGAGCCCAGGAGUUGAGGCUGCAGUGAGCCAUGAUCGUGCCACUGCACUUCAGCCUGGGUGACAGAGUGACCCUGUCUCAAAAAAAAAAACAACAACAAAAAAGUGUAUUUCUUACAUUUCUGGAGGAUAUGAAGUCCAAGAUUGAGGGGCCAGCAUCUGUCAAGGGCCUUCCUUCUGUGUUAUCCCACGGUAGAGGGCAGAAGGAUAAGAGAGCAUGUUAGCAAGCAAGAGAUCAAACUUGAAGCCUCAACUCCUUUUUAUUCAGCAGUAAUCCAUUCAUGAGGGUGGAAAAUAAACAUCUCCCAUUAGGUCUCAUCUCCCAAAAUUACUGCAUUGAGGAUUAAGUUUCCAACCCAUGCUUUUUUUUUUUAGAGUCAGCGUCUCACUCUGUCACCCAGGCUGGAGUGCAGUGGCUCACUGAACCCUUAAGCUCCUGGGCUCAAGCAGUCCUCCUGCCUCAGCCUCCCAAACAGCUGGGAUGACAGGUAUGAGCUACCAUGCCCUGUUGGUUUUCUUACUAGUUCUUAAAUCAUGAUUCUUUUGUUAAUUACUUCAUUACUUGCAUAAGCUGACUUCAUCAUAUCUUUAACAUCUAUGUAAACUAGGCUAUCUGUUCAAUUACCUCUUACUUCAUUUUUUAAACUCAUUCCAUAUCAUUUCCACUCAUUUCUUUUAAAAUCCUAGUAUCUAACAAGAAUAGUUCUUCCUUACAAUUUUUCUUCUCUUAGAGUACUAUAUGAAAAUUCUGCCCAUUUAUUUUGGAAAACAGUUUUGGAAUCAUUUUAUUGAGUUCUAUAAAGUAUUCUUUGGUUUUUAAUAGGAAUAUGGUAAAUCUAUACAUUAAUCUGGGAAGUAUUUUCUUUACUAUUCAUAGUCAUACUAUGUCUUUCCUUUCAUUUGCGUUUUUAAAAAUUAUUUCAUUAAAGUUUUCAUACUUUUGUGAACCCCGAAAAUCUGAGACAGGUCUUAGUUAACUUAGAAAGUUUAUUUUGCCAAGGCUGAGGAUACGUGCCCGUGACACAGCCUCAGGAGGUCCUGAUGACAUGUGCCCAAGGUGGUCAGAAUACAGUUUGGUUUUAUACAUUUUAGGAAGACAUGAGACAUCAAUCAACAUAGGUAAGAUGAACAUUGGUUCCAUCUAGAAAAGGCAGGACAACUCGAAGCAGGGAGGAAGCUUCCUUUUCAUUGAAUCAUUCACUGAUUUAGAGAGACAAUUUCCCUGAUUCCCCAGUCUUGAGUAGCCUCUCCUCACUCUUUAUCACAUCCUUCAUUUUGCUCUCUUCAUGGCAGUUAUUAUUGUUAUUUUGAAUUAGCUUGUUUGUUUACAUCAGGGGUCCCCCACCCCCUGGCCGAAGACUGGUACUGGUUCGUGGCCUGUUAGGAACCGGGCUGCACAGCAGGAGGCAAGCGAGCAUUACUGCCUGAGCUCUGCCUACUGUCAGAUCAGCAGCGGCAUUAGAUUCUCAUAGAAGCACGAAUCCUAUUGUGAACUGCAUAUGUGAGGGAUCUAGGUUGCAUACUCUUUAUAAGAAUCUAAGGCCUGAUGAUCUGAGGUGGAACAGUUUCAUCCCAAAACCAUGAAGGAUCUAGGUUGCACACUCUUUGUAAGAAUCAAAUGCCUGAUAAUCUGAGGUGGAACAGUUUCAUCCCAAAACCACCCUCCUAUCCACCUCACCCAUACAUUCCCACACCCCUAAUACCCCCACACCCCCAAUACCCCCACACCCCCAAUACCCCCACACCCCCAAUACCCCCACACCCCCCUACACAGCCCCCACUCCAGUCCCUGGAAAAAUUGUCCACAAAAUCGGUCCCUGGUGCCAAAAAGGUUGGGGGCCACUGGUUUACAUGUUAUUGUCCGUCUUCUAUGCAUGGCGCCCUUACUAGUAAUGCUUGCUUUGAAAUCUUUAUCAGUCAGAUCAUCUUUGCAAUAUCAAAUUGUGAUACACCCUGAUCUAGCAUUACAGUACUAUCCUGGAGCUAAUAGAAUCCAAACCUGCUUCCUAAAUCCUGGCUUUUCCUUCAGAUUUCUUUGCAAGUCAUCUCUGUGCAGAAGAGGCCUUUCACUCAGCACAGAGUACUACAUAGAAUUCAUGUUCCUCAGUUUCUGAGCUAAUGUUCUGACCUCCUCUAAGUCUUGCUGCUACUGGACACUGGGAGACCUGGGAUUUAUGUAUACUUUGAUUCAAAGAUUGUACAUAUAAGAACCCAUAAUUGUUAAAUAUUUUUGGCAAAAGAUAAAGUACUUCUAAACAAAUAAUGAGAUCAAGAUAGUAGCACUAGAUAAAAAAUAACACUUGGAUUCCAGCCCAGAUGUUUUCACUAUUUACCAUGUGAUCUUGGCCAAAUUAGUUAUCCUCUUAGAGUUCUCUUCUGUAAAAUGAGGUUACUGCAUUAGAUUUAUGGAUGACUGCGGCUGCAAUUUAAAAUGAAUAACCUAUUAGAGAAAUGUAUAAAAUUAAUAUUAAUAAACUACUCAUAUCUAAAUUGUUAAAGUAAACCUUGGUAAACCUUUAGGUACUGCUAUCUUAUCAAAAUACGAUGAUGGGAUAGUGGAAUUUUUGUACCCAAAUAUCAAAUCAUUUCUUCCAAUUAAAUCUCACAAAUCAUAUGAUUUGGAGUAGUACCUCUGCAAUGGAAAACUCUGGGGUAAGUCUCUCUAGCUUCUCUGCUUGUUCUAGGAACUGCUCCUCCCUCCCUUUUUCAUCCUUCCAUCAUAGUGCAGCUAUAAUGUGACCCUUCCUCCUGGCCACUGCUAAUCAUCUGUGUGAUCCGGGUGUGGAUACCUCGCCUAAUCAGAGCCAGUGAGUCCCAUCCUCAGGAAUUUAGGUCUUGGAUAGGAAAAAAUAUGGAAAGCAAGUUGGUCUCUCAUUCUUGAAGCCAUAAAGUGAAAACCUUGGGUGUGCUAGGCAGCUGUGUUCCCAUGAAAAAGAUAGUCUACAGAAAAAAGAAGCAAGCAGAGGAUCUAAUAUUGCUGGUCCCUAGGCUAGCUGGAUUCUUAUCUGUAGAGUAGUUUGUUCAACUCAUCUCAGUAUACUUUAUAUAAGUUCUUCCUUUUGCCUAAGCUGGUCAGAGUCUUGUUUGGUGCCUUCU